rnacentral:misc_RNA from 1 species
UCCGGCUUAUCACCGGCAGUCCCCUUAGAGUGCCCAACUAAAUGAUGGCAACUAAGGGCGAGGGUUGCGCUCGUUACGGGACUUAACCCAACAUCUCACGACACGGGCUGACGACAGCCAUGCACCACCUGUAUAGGACCCUUACGGACCCCCCAUCUCUGGAGGAUUUCCCUAUAUGUCAAACCCAGGUAAGGUUCUUCGCGUUGCAUCGAAUUAAUCCGCAUGCUCCGCCGCUUGUGCGGGCCCCCGUCAAUUCCUUUGAGUUUCAAUCUUGCGAUCGUACUUCCCAGGUGGGAUACUUAAAGCGUUAGCUGCGCCACUAGUGAGUAAACCCACUAACGGCUGGCAUUCAUCGUUUACGGCGUGGACUAC